rnacentral:lncRNA from 1 species
CACAAAAUAAAAUCUCAACAAAAUUUUUAAAAUGAAAUCAUAUCAAGCUUCUUCUUAGACCACAAUAGAAUAAAACCAGAAAUCAAUGACAAGAGGAACUUUGGAAACUGUAGAAAUACAUGAAAAUUAAACAUAUUCCUGGGCCAGGCAUGGUGGCUCACGCCUGUAAUCCCAACACUUUGGGAGGCUGAGGCGGGCAGAUCACGAGGUCAGGAGAUCGAGACCAUCCUGGCUAACACGGUGAAACCCCGUCUCUACUAAAAAUACAAAAAAAUUAGCUGGGCGUGGUGCUGGGCACCUGUAGUCCCAGCUACUCGGGAGGCUGAGGCAGGAGAAUGCCGUGAACCCAGGAGGCGGAGCUUGCAGUGAGCCGAGAUUGCACCACAGCACUCCAGCCAGGGUGACAGAGCGAGACUCUGUCUCUUAAAAAAAAAAAAAAAAAAAAAAGAUGUUCCUGAACAACCAAUGAAUAAAUUAAGAAGGAAACUUAACAUUUUCUUGAAACUAAUGAAAAUUAAAAUACAACAUACCAAAACCUAUGGGAUGCAGCAAAAGCACUACUAAGAUGGAAGAGUAUAGCAAUAAAUUCCAAUAUCGAAAAAGUAGAAAGAUUUCAAUUAAACAACCUGACAAUACACAUCAAGGAACUAGAAAAACAAGAACACACCAAGUCCAAAACUAGCAGAAGUAAAGAAAUAAAAUCAGGGACUUCCAGUUCCAAAAUGGUGGCAUAGAAACAAGCUGGCUUCACUCCCCCGUCCCCACUCCAAGGCCCCACCACCUACACACACACACAGAAAACCAAAAACAAAUGUACAGCAACAAGAUUAUCAUCAGCAAUUUCUAAAACCAUUUCCCGGGCUCAAGUGAUUCUCAUGCCUCAGCUUCCCGAAUAGCUGGAAUUACAGGCUUGCACCACCACACCCAGCUAAUUUUUUUGUAUUUUUAGUGGAGAUGGGGUUUCACCAUGUUGGCCAGGCUGGUCUUGAACUCCUGACCUCAAGUGAUCCGCCCGCCUCCUUGGCCUCCCAAAGUGCUGGGAUUACAGGCAUAAGCCACCACGCCUGGU